GAGUAAUCUUGAUCUCUCUUUUCGGAGGAGAAUGAGAACUUUGUCUUUUUGGAGGCCGAAUAGGUGACACCGAUGACUGCUUCCCACCGAAAUCAGAUGGAUUAUAUGCUUAAUGGUGUAUUCCUUGGUUCCUCACCAUAUUGGUUUAAGCUUAGAUUUUCCUUGGCCUGGUAACUGAAAAUUUUCUUCAAUUGCCCGGCCUUGAGUAAUUGUGUAACUUCGGCUCGCAGAUUCUUGCAGUCUCUAGUCAGGUGCACAUGAAUGUUGUGAAAAUCAUACCAAACAUCCUAGUUCCUCUUGUCUGGGUUGGAGGGGAUAUCCCUUGAAACUCUGGGCCCCUUGGUAUCUUUCAAGGUCAUCAGCAGGCCUAAUGCUAAAAUUAUAUUUGGAUAACCUUAGAGGUCUCAAAUCCCUCGAUGGUGGCCUAGUGGCCCUGCUAUAUCUCUCUUAACCAGUCCCCUUAGUCCUCAUGAGCACUUGUCUCGAGCUCGAUCUCGAUUCUUGCUAUUGAGGGAAUGAAUAAGGUUCAAACCAACCCCUCGAAUUCAUGACUCAUAUUUCGAUAUGCCUUUAGGCUUUUCCUGGAAGAAACCUCUCACUUCAAUCGACACCGAAACUGAUCAUCUUUAAUUCGCAUUUGCAUUAUAUAUNNNN
rnacentral:lncRNA from 1 species